rnacentral:sRNA from 1 species
AAGCAAACCACAAUAUGAGGAACAUUU